AAGACGAGUAUCCACAUGACUAGGAAUCAGCACUUUCUUAAUCAACAGAAAAGCAAUCGGACCACAAAACAGAAAACAACUCGCCAUGAAAGCAGCGGUAGUGUUAACAAUUCUAUUAGCGACUUUUAUUGCCGCAAUAGUUUCCGAAGAACAGCUGGAAGACAAUGAAUUGUCUGAGGACUUAAUACCAGAUCUUUUCACCGAAGGACAACGCUUGAGAUUUUACCGUUUCCGUACCGUCCAAUUGGUGCGCAAUAAAGAAACUGUCCAAGCCAAACCAGCGAGUGGUUUUUCUGGCUAUCGGCCUGGAUACGGAGCUUUCCGCGGACGCCGUUCUGUCAGUCAAACAGAGAAUUUAUAGUCUAUCGGGACAUCGGCAUUUGAAUAUUUGUUCUUUGAUUUAAUUGAAUUUUGACAUAACCAAGAAAUGGUUGGGUCCAUCUGAAUAUACUGAACUAUGCCUUUUACAUCGAAUAUUCUCAAAAUCAUGUAAUAUUUUGCUGUACAUUUGAAAAUAAAUAUUUUACUCGAAAAUU